rnacentral:tRNA from 2 species
GGAGAGAUGCCGGAGUGGUCGAUCGGGGCGGUCUCGAAAACCGUUAUACCUUCGGGUAUCCAGGGUUCGAAUCCCUGUCUCUCCG